GAACAAUGUUUUUCAAAUAAACAUAUUUUAGUGAAUCUUUAUCAUAACACUUUGGAAAACAUUAAUUUGUUUACAAUCGAUUUUCGUCAGAUCAAAUCCGCUUUAUUUAUAUUUUAGUUCAUUAUUCAACAAUAACCACUUUAAACCAUGGAAAUGGCUUCAACGAGCUCAACAUCAAAUUAUUCUGAGAAUGAGGAAAAAGAUAAUGAUGAUGAACAAGAUGGAGAUGACUUGAUUGGAUACAAUCGGUAUGAUACAGUUCCAUCAUCUAGGGAAAUUGAGUUAAUUCAUGGAAAUAAAACGGUAUCAGCCCUUGCAUUAGAUCCUAAUGGUUCAAGAUUAGUUUCUGGUGGUUAUGACUAUGACGUGCGAUUCUGGGAUUUUCAAGGCAUGGACUCUCGGCUUGAAUCUUUUCGUACCAUUCAGCCAUGUGAAUGUCAUCCUAUCAAGAAUCUUGAAUAUUCAUCUAAUGGGGAUCUUAUUCUUGUUGUGUCUGGAAAUUGUCAAGCCAAGAUUGUUGAUAGAGAUGGUUAUGUUAAAAUGGAAUGUCCGAAAGGGGAUCAGUAUAUUCGUGAUAUGGCAAGGACGAAAGGCCAUACUGCUAUGUUGAAUUUUGGUUGUUGGCAUCCUAGAGAACGAAGUGAAUUGAUGACUUCAUCGAAUGAUGGUACACUAAGGAUUUGGACUGUUGAAAACGAACUCAAAGAACAAAAAGCUGUGAUCAAGUGCCGUAACCAAGGUGGUCUUAAAGCUAUACCCAAUGCAAUAAAUUAUUCAAAGGACGGUUUACUUAUUACAGCUGCAUGUACAGAUGGUUCGAUUCAAGCUUGGGAUCAUCGUCGUAAAGUUUAUGUAAACAAUAGCUUUUUAAUCAGAAAUGCUCACCAAAAUGGAUCUGAAACAUCUUCUUUGACAUUUUCUUAUGAUGGUAAAUAUUUUGCCACUCGAGGAAUGGAUGAAACAUUGAAAUUGUGGGAUAUCCGAAAUUACAAAACCUGUGUUAAUUCCGUAAAUAAUUUGUUUAAUUUAUUCCCUAACACUGACUGUUCCUUCAGUCCUGAUGAUCGACUCAUAUUGACGGGAGUUUCACUGCAGAAAGGGGAAGAUAUAGGUUAUCUUAAAUUUUUCAAUAGAGAUACUUUUGAACUAGAAGGCGAGAUGAAGGUAGCUCCGGCCAGUGUUAUUCGGUCUAUGUGGCACCCUAAACUCAAUCAAAUUAUAGUUAGCACCAGCAAUGGAAUUGUCAAAACCUAUUAUGAUGACAAAUUAAGCGAACGAGGUGCUAAACUAUGUGCUGUCCGAACCAAAAAGAGAUAUAACGAUUCAUUUGCAGUUUCAGAACCACAAAUCAUAGCUCCUCAUGCUCUACCAAUGUAUAAACAAGAGAAGAAGAAGAGUUGGAAAGUGGAAAUGAUGAAAGCUCGUAAAGAUCCAGUCAAAUCUCGGCGACCUGAUCUACCAGUUACUGGACCUGGUCAAGGUGGUCGAAUCGCCUCUACUGGAAGUACCUACGCAUCUUUCAUGGCUCAAAAGUUUGCAGCAAAAAACAGAAAAAUUGAUUCCAAUGAAGAUCCCCGUGAGGCUUUGCUGAAAUUUGCUAAAAAAGCUGCUGAAGAUCCUUACUGGGUAGCUCCUGCCUACCAGACCACUCAACCCAAACCCAUAUUCAGUGAAACCAAUGAAGAAGAAGAUUACGAACCUCCAGCAAAGAAAUAGCUAUCUACAGUUUAUUUACUUUUAACAGUUUACUCUGAUAAUUGGGACAAUAAUCGAGUGAUUACCCGUUAAAUUCGUGUUCUUUAUCUGCAAUGGUUUCAAAUUGCUGAAAAUGCUGGCUUUUCAAAUGCUGGUAUCCAUACAGUAAAUAUAUUGAUGGAACUUAUAACAAGUUAAUUGUAUCGACAAAACAAUCACGAGAAACGAAAUUAAGAAAACUGUUACAAUACAAUUAACAUGAUGAUAUCACAAAGUUGCCAUAUGAUGAGAGCUCUAACAUACAAGAGGAUGAAAAAAGGAAGACGAGAACGGUAAAGAAAGGAAAAGAAAGAAAGAAAAGAGAUGAAAAUAUUAAUAUCAAGAUGAAGAUCAAGGAAUGAGAAUCUCGGGAAAUAAAGAAGAUGAAGAGCAAGAUAAAGAAAUACAAUGAAAAAUUGAGUGCAUUGAAUUCUGGACACAAUAAUAACAUUCGAGUUUAUUGGCUCACUAUUAAUAAUAUAAACCUUCAAUUUGAAACUUAUAUCAGCGUUAAUCGAGACCACUUAAUUGUAGUUGCCAACUCUUCAAAGAUAUUAGUGAUUUCAUUUUCCACCUAGUUGCAGUCCUCCUACUGUAACAUGCAUUACAUUUUCAGUACCAUCAUUUUCCCCGUUAAUUUUUCCCUCUCUACUCGUCAUCUCGCCUUGCCCACUAUCUUCUCUAUCUUCUCUAUCAUCCCUAUCAUCAUCUUCUUUAACUUUUCUCUCUUCUUGAUCUCUAUUUGAUUUUGAUUCGACUUGUAGCUCCAAUGGAAGCAACUACUAAUUACUAUCAUUUACAGUUCUAAAUUGCUUAAUGUUAAUCGACAUUCAUUAACAAGUAAUUUAGUCUAUUCUUUCUCUCCUUCUCUUACACAUUCAUCAUCACCGAACAACUCUAUUAUCUUUAAAAGUAUCAUCCACGACAAACAAUAAAUCCCGCUGUUUUAAUUACCAUCAUUAGUAGGUCUAAUAACUUCACCAAUAGCAUCUGUAAAAACCAUGGUUAGCAAAUCUGGUUAAACUUGGAUAAAAAGAGACGAAAAGAUUAAAGUUAAAUUCA